ACAAUUCCAUUGUUUGAGGACAAAACCAGAACAACCCUUCGGGCUUUCUUCAGCAUGAAGGAGCAGCUGGUAUGGACAACUGCUCCCUCAGAACACUUUCCCUUUGGGAAACAUUACUAAAGAUCUUUUUCAUCUUUCAAAUGUCUUCAUUUCAGAAUUUCUAAUUUCCCUGACAAAUUACCCUUGUCCUCAGGAGCCUUUGAACACCAAUGACCAGAACUGCAUCUUGAAUGACUUCAGGUUCCUGAAUGAGAUCUCAGCUGCCCUCUCUACACUAAGAAUUGCCAUUGGGUUUAUGCAGCUGUCAUUUCCUCCUGCAGAGGAGUACCUUGUGCACUACCUGAGUAAAGAGCUGAAGCUCGAGGAUAGAACACAUACCCUGAGCUUACCGGUAUACCUAUUCUCCUAUUUUUUUCCUGUUAGCCUAGCCACCAAAAUAUCUUCCCAUUAACAUGUAAUUUCAGAGAAAUCAAUGUUUUAGUUUGUACAUUUGUUUCCUCCAAAACACUGUUAAUAGGACACAUUGCCCAGCUAGCUUGUUUGGGUUUUGUCAUGAUCCUGAGUGCCAUAGACCUGACUGGGAACUCAAAAGAAUUUCUUAAAUCAAAUCUCCAUCUGUGCAACAUUGCAUUUUUGACUCCAUUGUAGUAGUCAUAUUACAUUGACAUCACUCCUUCUCGAAUUUGAAUGUGUGACAUGUUCUCUUAAGGUUUGUAUCUGACUAGAGAGUUUUUGCAUGGGGUUUACAGGUGCUGAGAACCAGCAGGGUGAAGCACAUCCAGUCUCUCUGGGAGGUGCUUUCUCUGAGGCAGUCCUCCCUGCUCAUUGAGAUGAACCAGAAUCCGUUCUUCAUGAUCGAGAAAGGUUUUCAUGAGUCGUUUUCUGAGGAGCAGAAGAAGGAAAUCACCCCCAAACUGGCCAACCUCACCAAACUGGACCUCUUCGUUACAGAGCUGCACUACGUCAUCAUGAACAUUCAUUUGAAUGGCGUCAAGCACGACUGGAGGUGUGUGUUAUUUGAUCUGUUUAUUCUUCAGCACACGUGCAUUAUUCACUGCAGUUUCACUACAAUGCACUUUCCCUUUUCAAUUUCAGUGUCCAAGAGACGUGUGAUGGCUUUGCGGAAAGGGGUGAGAUUGACGAGAGAGUAUUGGAGAGUGUGGAGACUCUGAAGUUGGAGAUGGAGCUGGAGAUGAAGAACAGCAUUGCUCUUUGGAAAAUGGCUGUUCAGAUGAAGAGGAGCUUGUCAGGAUGAUACCAGACAGACAAGCCUCAUUACAAAACUACUUUGCUUUUUCAUUUUCAUUUAACCUUUUAAAUCACGAGCAUAUAUUACAGUUAUCCAUUAAUAAUGACGCUAUAACAGAUAGACUCUUUAGUUCAGUUUAACUUCUUUGUUUCUGACUUUGGUAAUUAAAAAUCUAUACUAUCUAUACAAUCUGUAGAUUUGAAAGACAACCCUGUUAGUAAGACAUGUUUAUUUGAGUGUUUGUUAGUGAACAAUUGUGUGGGUUUUCAAAUGCUUUUCUUUCCCAUGUCAAUGCUACUUUACAUCAUGCAGUAUGUGUGAUCUUCCAUGAUAAUGAUAUAAAUUUGAUGUAAAAACCAGAUGUGUGUUCAAGAUUAAGCAACCUGGAUGGAUAGAUGGAUGCACUGAAGUAGAUAUGGUCUUACAUAUUGUGCUCAGUGUUCUGUGAAGUUUGUUUUCUAUUCCGGGUUCCACCUUUUGUUCUUUUCCUCACAUUUGCAUGAAAUAUAAUCACUGGAAGCCCAGGUAUCCGACACCAAAGAGAAGAACCUUUGCGUGGAUAGAAUACUUUUCAUUAAUCAAGAUAGUGGCUUUGAUUUGAUUGGGUGAAUCAGUAUUGAAUCUGUUAUACUGCCAUGACUAAUAAACUGAUUAAAGUAUUUGUAUCCUUCA
ensembl:lncRNA